UGGUGGGUAGUUUGACUGGGGCGGUCUCCUCCUAAAGAGUAACGGAGGAGCACGAAGGUUGGCUAAUCCUGGUCGGACAUCAGGAGGUUAGUGCAAUGGCAUAAGCCAGCUUGACUGCGAGCGUGACGGCGCGAGCAGGUGCGAAAGCAGGUCAUAGUGAUCCGGUGGUUCUGAAUGGAAGGGCCAUCGCUCAACGGAUAAAAGGUACUCCGGGGAUAACAGGCUGAUACCGCCCAAGAGUUCAUAUCGACGGCGGUGUUUGGCACCUCGAUGUCGGCUCAUCACAUCCUGGGGCUGAAGUAGGUCCCAAGGGUAUGGCUGUUCGCCAUUUAAAGUGGUACGCGAGCUGGGUUUAGAACGUCGUGAGACAGUUCGGUCCCUAUCUGCCGUGGGCGCUGGAGAACUGAGGGGGGCUGCUCCUAGUACGAGAGGACCGGAGUGGACGCAUCACUGGUGUUCGGGUUGUCAUGCCAAUGGCACUGCCCGGUAGCUAAAUGCGGAAGAGAUAAGUGCUGAAAGCAUCUAAGCACGAAACUUGCCCCGAGAUGAGUUCUCCCUGAGACUUAGAGUCUCCUGAAGGAACGUUGAAGACGACGACGUUGAUAGGCCGGGUGUGUAAGCGCAGCGAUGCGUUGAGCUAACCGGUACUAAUGAACCGUGAGGCUUAA
rnacentral:rRNA from 1 species